rnacentral:rRNA from 1 species
CCUGGCGGCCUUAGCGCGGUGGUCCCACCUGACCCCAUGCCGAACUCAGAAGUGAAACGCCGUAGCGCCGAUGGUAGUGUGGGGUCUCCCCAUGCGAGAGUAAUUAAGCAGUAAGCC